CCUACGGGUGGCAGCAGUGGGGAAUAUUGGACAAUGGGGGGAACCCUGAUCCAGCCAUGCCGCGUGUGUGAAGAAGGCCCUCGGGUUGUAAAGCACUUUCAGUGAGGAAGAACGCCUGGUGGUUAAUACCCAUCAGGAAAGACAUCACUCACAGAAGAAGCACCGGCUAACUCCGUGCCAGCAGCCGCGGUAAUACGGAGGGUGCGAGCGUUAAUCGGAAUUACUGGGCGUAAAGCGCGCGUAGGUGGCUUGAUAAGCCGGUUGUGAAAGCCCCGGGCUCAACCUGGGAACGGCAUCCGGAACUGUCAAGCUAGAGUGCAGGAGAGGAAGGUAGAAUUCCCGGUGUAGCGGUGAAAAGCGGAGAGAUCGGGAGGAAUACCAGUGGCGAAGGAGGCCUUCUGGACUGACACUGACACUGAGGUGCGAAAGCGUGGGUAGCAAACAGGAUUAGAUACCCCUGUAGUC
rnacentral:rRNA from 1 species